rnacentral:tRNA from 1 species
GCGCCCGUAGCUCAGCUGGAUAGAGCGUCGGACUUCGAAUCCGCAGGUCGGGUGUUCGAAUCACCCCGGGCGCG